AUGUGCCACUCGUGCACUGCGGCUCCUCCGCGCCGUCUGCACUCGCUGGUCACUGCGCGCUACGUUUUGUUUGCC
rnacentral:sRNA from 1 species